GCUCAGGGUGAACGCUGGCGGCGUGCCUAAUGCAUGCAAGUUGAGCGAUCCACUUCGGUGGAGAGCAGCGAASGGCUGAGGAACGCGUAGGUGACCUGCCCUUUGGUGGGGGACAACUCCGGGAAACCGGGGCUGAUACCGCAUAARUUCUUCUGGCUGCGGCCAGAAGAGGAAAGUCGCAAGACGCCGAAGGAGGGGCCUGCGUCCCAUCAGGUAGUUGGUGGGGUAAUAGCCCACCAAGCCGACGACGGGUAGCUGGUCUGAGAGGACGAUCAGCCAGAGGGGGACUGASACACGGCCCCCACUCCUACGGGAGGCAGCAGCAGGGGAUCUUGGGCAAUGGGCGAAAGCCUGACCCAGCGACGCCGCGUGGGGGAUGAAGGCCUUCGGGUCGUAAACUCCUUUUCCAGGGGACGAUAAUGACGGUACCUUGGGAAGAAGCCCCGGCUAACUACGUGCCAGCAGCCGCGGUAAAACGUAGGGGGCGAGCGUUACCCGGAAUCAUUGGGCGUAAAGGGCAUGUAGGCGGUUCGGUCCGUCGUUGGUGAAAGGCCCCAGCUUAACUGGGGAGCCGCUAACGAUACCACCAGACUAGAGGGCAGCAGAGGUGAGUGGAAUUCCCGGCGUAGCGUUGAUAUGCGUAKAGUUCGGGAGGAACACCAGUGGCGAAGGCGACUCACUGGGCUGUCCCUGACGCUAAGGUGCGAAAGCGUGGGGAGCAAACAGGAUUAGAUACCCUGGUAGUCCACGCCCUAAACGAUGGAUACUAGGUAUGGGGGGUAUCGACCCCCUCCGUGCCGGA
rnacentral:rRNA from 1 species